rnacentral:rRNA from 1 species
AGAGUUUGAUUCUGGCUCAGGAUGAACGCUGGCGGCGUGCCUAAUACAUGCAAGUCGAACGAGAGUGCUUGCACUCGAGUGGCGAACGGGUGAGUAACACGUAGGUAACCUGCCUUACAGUUUGGGAUACCCGAGGGAAACCUUGGCUAAUACCGAAUAAUUCAUUUGGAGGCAUCUCCAGAUGCUAAAAGGGGCCUUUAAAGCCUCGCUGAAAGAUGGACCUGCGGCGCAUUAGCUAGUUGGUGAGAUAAUAGCCCACCAAGGCGAGGAUGCGUAGCCGACCUAGGAGGGUGAACGGCCACACUGGAACUGAGACACGGUCCAGACUCCUACGGGAGGCAGCAGUAGGGAGUUUUCGGCAAUGGGGGAAACCCUGACCGAGCAACGCCGCGUGAAUGAUGAAGGUCUUCGGAUUGUAAAGUUCUGUUAUAAGGGAAGAAUGAUAGCUUGAGGAAAUGCUAGUUAUUUGACGGUACCUUAUUAGAAAGCCACGGCUAACUACGUGCCAGCAGCUGC